CUAGCCUGGGACUCCAUACAUACAUACAUACAUACAUACAUACAUACAUACAUACAUACAUACUGCAUACAUACGUGUAUGGAUAGAUAGAUAGGUAGAUAGAUGAUAGAUAAGACUAGCCUUACCCUUUUAGGGGUCCUCCCACCUCUGCUUCCUGGAGGGUAGGCAUAAACCUCCAUCAUGCUGCUUAGUCCCCUUGACCUCGUUGAAUUUGAGGUCCACACUGGGGAGGACUGAAGUCACACUGUUUGUAGCUGCCUCUGCAGAAUGAAGCAUCCAGGGGCUCUUCACGAAGAAUUACAGAAAAGGUCAUCACACACCUAAGCCUGUGGACUGUCAUUUGUAAGUGCUGCGGCGCCCUGAGCAUGUAUUGUUCCCUUCACUGAUGUCUUCUAAGUCAACAAGACGCUGAUCAUUCAUUUGGCAAAUAUUUACUAAGUGACUGCUAAGUUCAAACAUGGCCUUCAUUUUACUUCGUUUAUUUUCUUUUGCAGGACUGGGGAUUGAACCUGGGUCUCAAGACAUGCCGGGCAAAUACUGUAACAGCUGAGCCCCUCCCUGGGAAUUGGGAACCAGCUAGCUAGACUACUGAAUGGUGACCUCAGGUAUGUCCGACCUCCAGGUACAUAGACCCUGCAGAAGAUCCCUCAGUGGGCAGCAGGGGCCCCAACCCUGGCUUGCUUCUUCUCCAGCUUGGCAAAACCCAACCCUGUUGGCUUCGGUGACCUUUCCUGGACCGCUGGCGGAGUGAGGACAAGCAAGGCUACUGUGUGAAGCCUACUGAAGACCUUGAGGGAGCCACAGUAAACAUUGCAACUGUGUUUGAUGAAGAACUUGGCUUUGGGUCCCGCUAGCAGGAAGAGCUCAAACUGGCUUGGCAAGGGCAGGCAGGCCUGAGGCCACAGCUUGGCUGCAGGGCCUGGGAAGGAACUCUGAGACUGUGCACUCAAAAGGAACCUGGAGCCUUCUCUCCCAAAGCAGCUACCCACCUUCUUUGUAUCUCUAAGCUCCUGCUUGGCUGAAGGUAGUAACAUAUUAAUGAUAAGAAUGAAAAUUAAUUAAUCCCCUCGAUACCCAGCUGUGUUACCAUGGCUUUGUUGUUGUUUUUUAUUUAUUUUAUUUUUUAGAUUUAUUUAUUUUAGGUAUACGAGUACACUGUUGCUGUCUUCAGAUGCACCAGAAGAAAACAUUGAUCCCGUUACAGAUGGUUGUGAGCCACCAUAUGGUUUCUGGGAGUUGAACUCAGGACCUCUGGAAGGGCAGCCAGUGCUCUUAACCACUGAGCCAUCUCCCCAGCCCUUGUUGUUGUUGUUGUUGUUUUUAAUGUGUUUGUUUUGAAACAAAGUCUCACUCUGCAGCCCAGGCAGGCCUUGAACUCACUAAGAUUUACCAGCCUCUAUCUCUAGUGUGCUGGGAUUAGUUGUACUUUGUUUUGUUUUCUUACUUUUUCUUUUCCUUUCUUUAAUUUGAGACAGCAGGCUGUCCCUUUGUAGAGCAGGCUGUCCUUGAAGCUGUGAGGAUCCUCCUGUGUUACUUCUGCCUCACAAGUAAGGGGAUGACAGAUGUGUGUCAAUAGGCCUUUGCCUCUCUCUCUCUCUCUCU
rnacentral:lncRNA from 1 species